CUAGAAGAAGUCAGGGAGGCCCUGGUUCUCACACCUCCCCCUGAAAGACCCCUGAAGUGGGGGAACCCUCACUCAAGUCUUGGGAUGACGCGGCCCCCCAAGAACUCACGAGAGAGC
rnacentral:pre_miRNA from 14 species